GGAUGUGAUGAUAAUAUUGUCGCCCCAGUCUUAAUUUGCACUAUAGGUGUAACAUGGUGACUGACUCUUUAUCUGAUCC